rnacentral:tRNA from 1 species
GGGGCUGUGGCGCAGAGGGAGCGCGCUUCCUUGGCAUGGAAGAGGCCGGGGUUCGAUUCCCGCCAGCUCCACCA